AGACGUGAGAGCAAUCUGGCUGUGACAUCUGUCACUCUACUGAUCAGCACAGUUGAUUUGGCUGAUCUGGCUGGCUAGAAGGGUGUCCCCUUCCUUACUGCUCAACGUGUGUCUGGAAUUGAAGAGGUGACCACUCCUGAUAGAGGAGGACUACUUCCUCAGUCAAGGGUGUAUGAGUA
rnacentral:snRNA from 1 species